rnacentral:tRNA from 1 species
CCUUUUAGGGAGACCUUACCCCUUCCUUUUGAAAGUCCUAGGACAAGUAAAAAAGAAGCAGGUCAUCUCAAGGUCGGUCAGGAAUAUAGUGUUGGUUUCCAAACUGUCUGGUCUGGUUUUUCAACCAGUAUGGGCUAUUAGCUCAGGUGGUUAGAGCGCACCCCUGAUAAGGGUGAGGUCCCUGGUUCGAGUCCAGGAUGGCCCACCUUUCAAUCUUUACUUAUGUAGAGAUUGUUUGUGAGGGGGUUUAGCUCAGUUGGUAGAGCGCCUGCUUUGCAAGCAGGAUGUCAGCGGUUCGAGUCCGCUAACCUCCACUGAGUGAUUUAUUCACUCUAAAAGUGUUAACAAUUUAGCAACUUUAUUGUUGACAGAUUUAAUCUGUUUAGCAAUCAGUCUGCUGGAUUUGUUAUCCAGUCAGAACCUAGAAAACUGCAUAGAGAAAGAGUCAGGUAGAAAGAAUUACUUUAUGCGAUCAGCACAAGUAAUUCCUUCAUAGACACCAAUGAUUAGUAAUUG